ACUGCCGUGGGCAAGGACGUAAUGCUCCUGGCCGAUGAUGGGCAAGGCGAGGUUGUUCGACAGCGCACACGCCCGUCCGGUCGGGCCGACGGCG
rnacentral:tRNA from 1 species